AUUGAACGCUGGCGGCAGGCCUAACACAUGCAAGUCGCACGAGUGGCGGACGGGUGAGUAAUGUCUGGGAAACUGCCUGAUGGAGGGGGAUAACUACUGGAAACUGUAGCUAAUACUGCAUACCAUCAGAUGUGCCCUGAUGGGCUUGGUUUGUUGGUGGGGUAACGACUCACCAAGGCGACGAUCCCUAGCUGGUCUGAGAGGAUGACCAGCCACACUGGAACUGAGACACGGUCCAGACUCCUACGGGAGGCAGCAGUGGGGAAUAUUGCACAAUGGGCGCAAGCCUGAUGCAGCCAUGCCGCGUGUAUGAAGAAGGCCUUCGGGUUGUAAAGUACUUUCAGCGGGGAGGCGUUACCCGCAGAGGAAGCACCGGCUAACUCCGUGCCAGCCGCCGCGGUAAUUC
rnacentral:rRNA from 1 species